GCCGCUAUGGUGAAACUGGUAAACACGCCGGAUUCAAAAUCCGGUGACCUCGGUCUUGUCGGUUCAAGUCCGACUAGCGGUA
rnacentral:tRNA from 1 species